ACAAGACUGGCUGACGCCACAAAGGAAGAGAAAUGAGAGUCGGCUAGAGUAAAUCUAUUAGGGCUCACAGUGAAGGCUGGAGAGUCUAAAGCAGGAAAACCGGGUGGGAACCUCCAGUCUGUUAGACUCUAAAGCUCCAGGACCUCACACCACAGCAGUUCAUUUAUCAAUGAUUGUUCCUGCGUGUGGGAACAAAAUAAGUUCCUGUUUUGUUUGGUUUCACCAUUGCUUAAGCCAUAUCCGUUAAUGUUUGGUGUUCCUCAAGGAUCUGUCCCGGAACCACUAAAUUAUUAUUAUUAUUUAUUUAUUUUGUUUAUCAACAAUUUACUAACAUAUGCCAUAUUUAGCACCAACAUAGUUCCACUCCUGAUAAAUUUUGAGAUAAUUUCAAUAAUAUUUCAAUGCCUUAAAUCUCUCAGAUUCUUUUAGGAAAAUAUGAACCCUCAUUGACCCUGAAAUCUUCCGGCACUGGUUUACUAACCAUCCCGACAACAAAAACCAAAACUCACAUUGCCUGAGGGUCACAGAUAUUGUUGAUGUUUUUAAAGAAACUACUUAAAAGCAAUGUCUUUCACUGGACUUUUAGCUAAAUAUGUUCAUGUUUGUUUUAUCAAACAUUUUUUCUAUUGGAUUUUAAUUAAUGAAAAUUUAUAUUCUUUAGUUUUAUUGUUUUAUCUUAUUUAUUUUGUUAUCUAUUUGGGCAUUGCCCCUUUUUGCAAUUUUUCUGGCAAAUCUUCUGUGAUUUCUUUUGUUACAAGUUUGCUCUAUCUUUUUUUCCUUUACUUUAAAAGCAUUUGUUGUUUGGCUUCCACAAGCAUUUGUUUAAACUUUUAAUCAAUUAUUAAUUUUACUUGCUAGAUUUUACAUCCACAAAUGCACAUUUUCCAACAAAAUUCCUAAGUUUUCUUUAUUUCUGGUGGAGGCCAAACUAUAUAUUGAAUCAAUGGUUUUUUAAACCAUAAGGCUUUGUUUUAAUAUAAAAUAAUUUAAAAUGUAAACUGCAAUUUUUUUAUCCUACUUUUUUUCACUUUUUGAUGUUUUUUGUUUGUUUCUGCCCCUGACAUGUUAUGUAAUUCUUUUGUAAUUUAAUGUACAAUGUAUAUUAAAAGCUAUUUUUCACAGUUUUUUGUACUGAAACUGCAGUUUACAAUAAAGUUUAUUAAAAAAAAACAAAACAAACAAAAACAAAACUCCUGCUCAAGAUGGCUGCUACAGGAACAAGAAGGGGUCAUUCUCUCACUUGCAAAAAGCCAAAACUUCCACCAGCUUUCUUCUGCAGUGCACUCCACUUGUUAUUGUGAUGCCAAAUUGAGACUUCAGCAGUGCAACAGACGAGUGCAGAGAACAGUGAACAUCAGGACCGACUCUCCUCGGGAACCUUCCGGUGCCCCCCCACCUCUUCCAUCUGCUCAGACCUGUGGGACUGGGCAGUUCUGUGUUGGACACAUGCAUCUUCCUGUUUGGCUGGAUAAUGGCCCUCCCCACAAACACACACACGUUGGUGAUGCUAGAGGUUCUUUUAUUGACAAAAGCAUCAAAUCAUUUUAAAAUUGUUUUAAAAAAAACGUUUUCUUGCAAGUAACCUACUUGUGUAAGCCGGAUUGUUUGUCUAGAGACUUGUUGUCGGUUAGUUGUGAGUUAAUGUUGCUAAAAGAUGAAUGAUAAAAUAAGAUAUGCUAGAUUGAAGACCCACUCUGACCAU